AGCAGUCGCCGCGGUAAAACGGAGGGUGCAAGCGUUAUCCGGAUUUAUUGGGUUUAAAGGGUCCGUAGGCGGAUCUGUAAGUCAGUGGUGAAAUCUCACAGCUUAACUGUGAAACUGCCAUUGAUACUGCAGGUCUUGAGUAAAUUUGAAGUGGCUGGAAUAAGUAGUGUAGCGGUGAAAUGCAUAGAUAUUACUUAGAACACCAAUUGCGAAGGCAGGUCACUAAGAUUUAACUGACGCUGAUGGACGAAAGCGUGGGGAGCGAACAGGAUUAGAUACCCGAGUAGUCCCUGUCUCUUAUAC
rnacentral:rRNA from 1 species